rnacentral:rRNA from 1 species
GACGAACGCUGGCGGCGUGCUUAACACAUGCAAGUCGAACGGAAAGGCCCCUUUGGGGGUACUCGAGUGGCGAACGGGUGAGUAACACGUGAGUAACCUGCCCUUGACUUCGGGAUAACUUCAGUAAACUGGGUCGAAUACCGGAUAGGAAUCCUUGCUGCAUGGUGGGGGGUGGAAAGCUUCGGCGGUUGGGGAUGGACUCGCGGCUUAUCAGCUUGCUGGUGGGGUAGUGGCUUACCAAGGCUUGGACGGGUAGCCGGCCGGAGAGGGCGACCGGCCACAUUGGGACUGAGAGACGGCCGAGACUCCUACGGGAGGAAGAAGGGGGGAAGAGUGCACAAUGGGCGGAAGCCGGAUGCAGCAACGCGGCGGGCGGGAGGACGGCCUGCGGGUGGUAAACGGCUUUCGCCGGUGACGAAGCGUGAGUGACGGUAAUGGGUAAAGAAGCAACGGCUAACUACGUG